UGCACUUGUCUAUAAUUCUUUAUUCAUGUUUUUCAUAGAUAACAUGGUUGAUACCCCCACAAUAACUGACAUCUCUUAUCUUGUUUAUAAUACUGACACGGGAACAUGGGAACAUGUACACAAGUACACAAACACAGAGUCACAAUUUCAGCCCAACUACAGAGUUAACCUCCAAAAGAAAACAGGAGACCCAGAGGCCGUACAGCCAAGGCCUGUCCUGCUUUACAAAAUAGUAGCAAAAGAACAAUCACCUCUACAAAAGUAACAAAAAUCCUUACUAUCUAUCAUUGUGGAAGUGCUUGUAAUUUUGGAAGUUUGUAAUUUUCAAAAGGGUAUUAAUAAUAUGAAUGCCUAGAAAAUCCCCAGUAAAAAUAGCUCAUCUCUGUAAAAAUGGGCUAGCAGGACAACCCUUGGCUGUGCAUUUAGUCACAAACUUUUUUUUUCUCUCAAAUUUUUGUUAAUACAACAACAAUAACAUUGUUCCUUAAAUACAAAUAUGUACAGAGACUCCAACAUUUUUUUUCUUCUUCAAAAUAAUGCCCUAAACACUAAUGCAUUAUCUAUAAUAUAGGUUAUGCUCAUUUGGAUAUUUCCUUCACAGAAAUCGCCCAUGCAGUUGGAUACCUGAAUCAUCGUAAUUAGAUCACAGUUUCUUCACCAUUAUAUCGUAUUGAUGUUUUGUGUCUCUGUAACAACAUGAAUGUGUCACCACGGCAACAGCAAUAGUAUCUUCUCCUGCCUGUCAAAGACACAUUUAAUAUUCUUUCUUCUUUUUUUAAAUAGCCCCCCUCCCAAUCCUCCCUGACCCCCUGAAAAUGUUGUCUUCACCCCUGCCAACCUCCUGAGCAGGAUUUGAGCCAGCUUCUUCAAAUGUAAACAUACCGUUGCCUGCAAUGAGUGGAGAGAGAAAGGCACACAUGAUAAAAGCACACAGCUUUAAGCUACAGUACCUACAGAGGUUUUGGUUUGAUUAGCUAAAUGACACCUUUUUACCAUUCUAUCAGAUAUGACUUUCUCCUGGGAAUGUUAGUGUGGUAUGUAUGUGAUCUACCUUGAUUUGUUAUGUUUUGUGUUUUUUAAAUUGGAUGAUAAUGUUUGAAGUAUAGGCACCUAAUGAUUGGCUACCUCCCUUUGCUGGACAGAACAGAUUCAGGGGACCAUUCUCAGGGGCCUUCAGAUGUGUACAGUACCAAUCUCAGGGGCCUUCAGAUGUGUACAGUACCAAUCUCAGAAUAGGGUGCUUUGGGCUAUCUUUUCUCAUGUUUACAGGGUACUCUACUCUGUCUGUCCUCACUUUAACUGAUGAAGGAAGGGCAAAGGUCAUUAAAGACAGGACACUAAGAAUCUUUGUAUACCCUGGCCUACCACAGACUGAGAUAUUAGAUCAUUGGUUUUAUAUUCUGCAUUAUUCAGGGGGAUUCACAGGUGUGUGUGAUCACUUUUGAUCAGAGCGAACAGAGACUUCUUGCUUUCACAUGCAACACUGUACUUUUACAACCACUACAUGAGACCACAUCCAUUCACAACUAUCAACUGAAAUGGAUCGUUUUACAUGUCAUGGUCAAAUCACAUGCCAUGGUACAAUAUGUCACCAUGCUCCUCCGUCCUGUCUCAUACGUAGACAUGAACAUGAUCAUCCAUAUAGUCAAAUGUAGUGUUUAUAAAAAUAAAUAAAAAACGUCAACACAGCGUUUACAUUGGCUGACGUAACAUGACCAUGUAUUUACACACUCUACUCUGUGCCAAGUUGACACAGUCCAAAUUUUCAGUGCUUCUAUCCCAUGACAAUUGGCCAUUUAGGAAAAAACUAAAACAUUACAAAUACAGAAGACAGAAACUCCUUAUAGGAAGAAUAUGAUCAUCACUCAUUAUUAAAUGAACAAGCUGCUGUUGUUGUUAACACUUGAUUAUAUUAAGUUUUGUACCUAGCUUUAUAAAUGUGUUGGACUGCCAUUUAGCCAUUUAAUUUUACAUCUCAGUGCAGUUCAAGCAGUUUAAAAGGGGUCAUACCAUAUCGAAUAAGAUAUGAGAAUAAUCGUAAUCUGUAUACUCUUGUAUUGUAGUAUGCAUGUGCAUUAAAGGGAGGUGGAAGAAUAAGCUACUUUCUUAAUCAAAUGUAUCAAGAACUCCUUCCUGAGGAAAAGUCACACAAGACAAAAGCCUUUAAAGGUUUUGACAUUCUGAGUGAUGGACACAUAUUUAUGUAACAAACGCCUCUCUCUCUCUCUCAAACCAAGAGGGAGACCUCUAGCGCUGCAAAUCAAUCUCCACUCCCACACGUUCCUCUCUCUUCACUUGGAGGGCUUUGAGUCAAUCCCUGCUAUCGCUGCAUGCUUUGGCUAGUGUCUUAGUAUCGUAUUUAUUUUGUAGAUUUAGUCAAUUCUUUCCAAUAACCUGCAAGCACAAACCCUGCAUCCCCUCUAUUUAUUUUACCUUUAUUUAACUAGGCAACUCAGUUAAGAACAAAUUAUUAUUUUCAAUGAUGGCCUAGGAACAGUGGGUUAACUGCCUGUUCAGGGGCAGAACGACAGAUUUGUACCUUGUCAGCUCGGGGGUUUGAACUUGCUAGUCCAACGCUCUAACCACUAGGCUACCCUGCCGCCCCGGCAGAGGGGAUGGUCAAAAGAUUUUGGUCUGAAAAGUAUUACUGCCAUGUGUAAACACGCGAUAGCAGUCAUUGAAUCAAAAACCCCGGACACUGAUGCAAAGGGAAUUAUACAUCUCAAACAGUGUUUGGAUUUACAUUAUCAGUCAGAAGUUUGGAUGCAGCUACUCAUUCAAGGGUUUUUCUCUUUUAAAAAAAAACUAAUUUCUACAUUGUAGAAUAAUAGUGAAUACAUCAACACAUUGAUAUAACACAUAUGGAAUCAUGUAGUAACCAAAAAAAGUGUUCAACAAAUCAAAAUAUAUUGUAUAUUUGAGAUUUUUCAAAGUAGGCACCCUUUGCCUUGAUGACAGCUUUGCACACUCUCGGCAUUCUCUCAACCAGCUUCAUGAGGUAGUCACCUGGAAUGCAUUUCAAUUAACAGAUGUGCCUUGUAAAAAGUUUGUGGAAUUUCUUGCCUUCUUAAUGCGUUUGAGCCAAUCAGUUCUGUUGUGACAAGGUAGGGGUGGUAUACAGAAGAUAGCCCUAUUUGGUAAAAGACCAAGUCCAUAUUAUGGCAAGAACAGCUCAAAAAAGCAAAGAGAAAUGAUAGUCCAUCAUUACUUUAAAUCAUGAAUGUCAGUCAAUACGGAAUAUUUAAAUAACUUUGAAAGUUUCUUCAAGUGCAGUUGCAAAAACCAUCAAGUGCUAUGAUGAAACUGGCUCUCAUGAGGACCACCACAGGAACCAGAAUUCUCUCAACCUGCUUCACCUGGAAUGCUUUUCCAACAGUCUUGAAAGAGUUCCCACAUAUGCUGAGCAAUUGUUGGCUUCUUUUCCUUCACUCUGCAUUCCAACUCAUCCCAAAACAUCACACCAUUGGUUAGUGCCUGUAAGUAAGCAUUUCAACUGUAAUACCUGUUGUAUUCGGCGCAUGUGACAAAUAAACUUUGAUUUGAUUUGAAAGGAAGACCCAGAGUUACCUCUGCUGCAGAGUAUAAGUUCAUUAGAGUUAACUUCACCUCUGAUUGCAGCCCAAAUAAAUGCUUCACCGAGUUCAAGUAACAGACACAUCUCAACAUCUACUGUUCAGAGGAGACUGCUUGAAUCAGGCCUUCAUGGACAAAUUGGUGCAAAUAAACCACUACCAAAGGACACCAAUAAGAAGAGAAUUGUUUGGACCAAGAAAUACGAGCAAUGGACACACCUGGUGGAAAUCUGUCCUUUGGUCUGAUGUGAGUCCAAAUGUGAGAUUUUUGGUUCCAACUGCCGUGUCUUUGUGAGAUGCAGAGUAUGUGAACGGAUGAUCUCUGCAUGCGUGGUUCCCACCGUGAAGCAUGGAGGAGGAUGUGGAUGGUAUGAUGGUGUGGGUGUGCUUUGGUGGUGACACUGUCUGUGAUUUAUUUAGAAUUCAAGGCACACUUAACCAGCAUGACUACCACAGCAUUCUGCAGCGAUACUCCCAUCUGGUUUGCGCUUAGUGGGACUAUCGUUUCUUUUUCAACAGGACAAUGACUCAAAACACACCUCCAGGCUGUGUAAGGGCUAUUUGACCAAGGAGAGUGAUGGAGUGCUGCAUCAGAUGACCUGGCCUCUACAGUCACCCGACCUCAAACCAAUUGAGAUGGUUUGUAAUGAGUUGGAAUGCAUAGUGAAGGAAAAGCAGCCAACAAGUGCUCAGCAUAUGUGGGAACUCUUUCAAGACUGUUGGUAAAGCAUUCCAGGUGAAGCUGGUUGAGAGAAUGCUAAGAGUGGGCAAAGUUGUCAUCAAGGCAAAGGGUGUCUACUUAGAAGAUUCUGCAAUCUAAAAUAUAUUUUGAUUUGUUUAACACUUUUUUUGGUUACUACAUUAUUCUAUAUGUGUUAUAUCAAAGUGUUGAUGUCUUCACUAUUAUUCUACAAUGUAGAAAAUAGUCAAAAUAAAGAAAAACCUUUGAAUGAGUAGGUGUGUCCAAACUUUUGACUGGUACUGUACAUUAAAACACAAACAGGGUAAAUAUGCAGGUCUUUGUUUCUCUUUUUCUCACUCUGCUGGGGUGAGUACCAGUACAUUCCUAGUGGCCAUAACCCAGUGUGCUAUUAGAAGUCCAUACUCAAAUGCUGGCACUUUCAAUGGUUUAAAAAAAAUACACAAGAGAGUUUCAUUACACUUUCUGAAAGCUAAUUACACUACCCAUUAUCACAGGGUCUCCCAUUAGGCUACCUCAUUAUAUUAUCACAGGGUCUCCCACUAGGCUACCUCAUUAUAUUACCACAGGGUCUCCCAUUAGGCUACCUCAUUAUAUUAUCACAGGGUCUCCCAUUAGGCUACCUCAUUAUAUUAUCACAGGGUCUCCCAUUAGGCUACCUCAUUAUAUUAUCACAGGGUCUCCCAUUAGGCUACCUCAUUAUAUUAUCACAGGGUCUCCCACUAGGCUACCUCAUCAUAUUAUCACAGGGUCUCCCAUUAGGCUACCUCAUUACAUUAUCACAGGGUCUCCCACUAGGCUACCUCAUUAUAUUAUCACAGGGUCUCCCAUUAGGCUACCUCAUUAUAUUAUCACAGGGUCUCCCACUAGGCUACCUCAUUAUAUUAUCACAGGGUCUCCCAUUAGGCUACCUCAUUA
ensembl:lncRNA